GAUGAAGAACGCAGCGAAAUGCGAUACGUAAUGUGAAUUGCAGAAUUCAGUGAAUCAUCGAGUCUUUGAACGCACAUUGCGCCCCCUGGUAUUCAGGGGGGCAUGCCUGUCCGAGCGUCAUUGCUGCACUCAAGCACGGCUUGUGUGUUGGGCCUCCGUCCUCCUCCCGGGGGACGGGCCCGAAAGGCAGCGGCGGCACCGCGUCCGGUCCUCGAGCGUAUGGGGCUUCGUCACCCGCUCUUGUAGGCCCGGCCGGCGCUUGCCGACACAUCAAUCUUUUUUCCAGGUUGACCUCGGAUCAGGUAGGGAUACCCGCUGAACUUAAGCAUAUCAAUAAGCGGAGGA
rnacentral:misc_RNA from 1 species